UGGGCCGAGCUGGAUUUGAACCAGCGUAGACAUAUCGUCAACGAAUUUACAGUCCGUCCCCAUUAACCGCUCGGGCAUCGACCCA
rnacentral:tRNA from 66 species